UUCGCCCUUUUCCGGUUGAUCCUGCCGGACCUGACUGCUAUCGGAUUGAUACUAAGCCAUGCGAGUCAUUGUAGCAAUACAAGGCAUACGGCUCAGUAACGCGUAGUCAACCUACCUUAUGGACGGGGAUAACCUCGGGAAACUGAGAAUAAUACCCGAUAGAACAUAAUUCCUGGAAUGGUUUAUGUUUCAAAUAAUUUAUUGCCGUAGGAUGGGACUGCGGCCUAUCAGUUUGUUGGUGAGGUAAUGGCCCACCAAGACUAUUACAGGUACGGGCUCUGAGAGGAGUAGCCCGGAGAUGGGUACUGAGACACGGACCCAGGCCCUAUGGGGCGCAGCAGGCAAGAAAACUUUGCAAUGUGCGAAAGCACGACAAGGUUAAUCCGAGUGGUUUCUGCUAAAGGAACCUUUUGACAGUCCUAGAAACACUGUUGAAUAAGGGGUGGGCAAGUUCUGGUGUCAGCCGCCGCGGUAAAACCAGCACCUCAAGUGGUCAGGAUGAUUAUUGGGCCUAAAGCAUCCGUAGCCUGCUUUGUAAGUUUUCGGUUAAAUCCAUACGCUCAACGUAUGGGCUGCCGGGAAUACUGCAAAGCUAGGGAGUGGGAGAGGUAGACGGUACUCGGUAGGAAGGGGUAAAAUCCUUUGAUCUAUUGAUGACCACCUGUGGCGAAGGCGGUCUACCAGAACACGUCCGGCGGUGAGGGAUGAAAGCUGGGGGAGCAAACCGGAUUAGAUACCCGGGUAGUCCCAGCUGU
rnacentral:rRNA from 1 species